rnacentral:rRNA from 1 species
AUUGAACGCUGGCGGCAUGCUUUACACAUGCAAGUCGAACGGUAACAGGUUAAGCUGACGAGUGGCGAACGGGUGAGUAAUGCAUCGGAACGUGCCCGAUCGUGGGGGAUAACGCAGCGAAAGCUGCGCUAAUACCGCAUACGAUCUGAGGAUGAAAGCGGGGGACCGUAAGGCCUCGCGCGAUCGGAGCGGCCGAUGUCAGAUUAGGUAGUUGGUGGGGUAAAGGCUCACCAAGCCAACGAUCUGUAGCUGGUCUGAGAGGACGACCAGCCACACUGGGACUGAGACACGGCCCAGACUCCUACGGGAGGCAGCAGUGGGGAAUUUUGGACAAUGGGCGAAAGCCUGAUCCAGCAAUGCCGCGUGCAGGAAGAAGGCCUUCGGGUUGUAAACUGCUUUUGUACGGAGCGAAAAGGUUCUCUCUAAUACAGAGGGCUCAUGACGGUACCGUAAGAAUAAGCACCGGCUAACUACGUGCCAGCAGCCGCCGCGGUAA